rnacentral:rRNA from 1 species
GAUGAACGCUGGCGGCGUGCCUAAUACAUGCAAGUAGAACGCUAAAGGAGGAAAUUUCUCUUCUGGACGAGUGGCGAACGGGUGAGUAACGCAUAGGUAACCUGCCUGGUAGCGGGGGAUAACUAUUGGAAACGAUAGCUAAUACCGCAGGACAACAGUUCUUGCAUGAUAACUGUUUAAAAGGGGCAACUGCUCCACUACCAGACGGACCUGCGUUGUAUUAGCUAGUUGGUGAGGUAACGGCCCACCAAGGCGACGAUACAUAGCCGGCCUGAGAGGGUGUCCGCCAACCCUGGAACGGAGCCCCGCUCCAGACCCCUCCGGGGGGCGCCGUAGGGAAUUUUUGGCCAUGGGGCGCAGUCUGACCGAAGCCCUCCGCGUGGGUUGAGGAGGUUCUCCGGUCGGUAAGCUCCGUUGUGAGGGGAGAAAGAGAGUGAGGUUAGAACCUUCACACAUUGACGGUAUCUUGCCAGAAAGCGCCGGCUAACUCCGUG